UGGACACCUACCAUUGAAAGUAGCCGACACAGAGAACACGGAUGAAUGGCAAAUAAUGCGAUAGUGGUGAAUCGGAGUUACGUCGUCGGCGCUUGGCUCGACCGGGGAAGAGAGGAGAGCGAAGGCUCGCAUCGGGUAAUCUGGAAGCCUUAACUAAUCGCGAAGAGGGAGAAGAGACGAAGGCAGGGCUUUCUCUUUCUCGUCCGGAGAUUUCAGACCCAUCGCACCCGAGUUGCGAGCUCCGGUGGUCGACUAGACCGAAGAAGAACAUGGGCAGAAGCAGCGACGCUGCUGUGGGGUUGGCGAAAGGGAGUGAGAAGCGAGGGUAAAGGAGGUCACGGUCCUUGGGCCGGUCGCGAAGGGCGUUAAUAGACGCCGAUCAAGGGAUGUUUGGGGGUUGUGCUCGACGGAAAAUGGAGAUAUGGGAGCGACGGGGUUCGAUCAGUGGGAAGAAAGGGUCGCAUUGGGACCGAAGAGAAGGAAAAGGAGAUAGGGAUUCAGUCUCGGUGGUGAUCGACGAGCAAAAGGGAGAGGGACAGCCUUCCUCCGGCUAUUGCAGGUAUACCCGGGAACAAGAACAGUUCUCGUGUUCUUGACAGAAAUUAGUGCAAAAGGAAAGAGCUAUGGGAGUGUUUGCGUGCUGUUUUCGGUUUUGAUUGUGUGUUGAUUGUUUGUGAACCAAUUUAUCAAUUUAUCA